rnacentral:SRP_RNA from 1 species
GAAGAUUGGUCAUAGACAAGGGCGUUGUGAACCCGGUCAGGUUCGGAAGAAAGCAGCCGCAGCAAUUCCCCCUUGGGUUGUGAUUCAGUCUUCCAC